rnacentral:lncRNA from 1 species
ACCGAGUAAGGUUGUUGCAAAAUAUAGGCUUGACAAAAUGCUUGUAUAUGAAAGAGUUAAGUCGAGAUCCGAUGGAUCUUGCAAGAUUGGCGAAGCAGGUGCCGUAUACAACAAGAAAGUAUCAAGAUAAGAAGACUAGUUAUUUUCAGGAGUAUAUUGUAUCAAGUGGUUUUUUAAUUUCUAUAAACAGUUGUCAUGUUAUUUUACAAGGGAAGAAGCAAUUUU